rnacentral:rRNA from 1 species
GACGAACGCUGGCGGCGUGCUUAACACAUGCAAGUCGAACGCUGAAGCUCAGCUUUUGUUGGGUGGAUGAGUGGCGAACGGGUGAGUAACACGUGAGUAACCUGCCCCCUUCUUUGGGAUAACGCCCGGAAACGGGUGCUAAUACUGGAUAUUCACUGGUCUUCGCAUGGGGGUUGGUGGAAAGGGUUUUUCUGGUGGGGGAUGGGCUCGCGGCCUAUCAGCUUGUUGGUGGGGUGAUGGCCUACCAAGGCUUUGACGGGUAGCCGGCCUGAGAGGGUGACCGGGCACAUUGGGACGGAGAUACGGCCCAGACUACUACGGGAGGCAGCAGUGGGGAAUAUUGCACAAUGGGCGCAAGCGUGAUGCAGCGACGCCGCGUGAGGGAUGGAGGCCUUCGGGUUGUGAACCUCUUUCGCUCAUGGUGAAGCCGCAACAAUGGUUGUGGUGAGGGUAGUGGGUAAAGAAGCGCCGGCUAACUACGUG